AAACGAUGUCUACUAGUUGUCGGGUCUUAAUUGACUUGGUAACGCAGCUAACGCGUGAAGUAGACCGCCUGGGGAGUACGGUCGCAAGAUUAAAACUCAAAGGAAUUGACGGGGACCCGCACAAGCGGUGGAUGAUGUGGAUUAAUUCGAUGCAACGCGAAAAACCUUACCUACCCUUGACAUGGCUGGAAUCCUGAAGAGAUUUGGGAGUGCUCGAAAGAGAACCAGUACACAGGUGCUGCAUGGCUGUCGUCAGCUCGUGUCGUGAGAUGUUGGGUUAAGUCCCGCAACGAGCGCAACCCUUGUCAUUAGUUGCUACGAAAGGGCACUCUAAUGAGACUGCCGGUGACAAACCGGAGGAAGGUGGGGAUGACGUCAAGUCCUCAUGGCCCUUAUGGGUAGGGCUUCACACGUCAUACAAUGGUACAUACAGAGCGCCGCCAACCCGCGAGGGGGAGCUAAUCGCAGAAAGUGUAUCGUAGUCCGGAUUGUAGUCUGCAACUCGACUGCAUGAAGUUGGAAUCGCUAGUAAUCGCGGAUCAGCAUGUCGCGGUGAAUACGUUCCCGGGUCUUGUACACACCGCCCGUCACACCAUGGGAGCGGGUUUUACCAGAAGUAGGUAGCUUAACCGUAAGGAGGGCGCUUACCACGGUAGGAUUCGUGACUGGGGUGAAGUCGUAACAAGGUAGCCGU
rnacentral:rRNA from 1 species